GGGCUCGCUUCAGCAGCACAUAUACUAAAACUGGAACGAGACAGAGAAGAUUAGCAGGGCCCCUGUGCAUGGAUGACAUGCAGAUUCAUGAAGUGUUCCAAAUUUUU